rnacentral:rRNA from 1 species
UACGUAGGUGACCAGCGUUGUCCGGAUUUACUGGGCGUAAAGAGCGCGCAGGCGGUUGUGCAAGUCGGGUGUGAAAGCCCCCGGCUCAACUGGGGAGGGUCACGCGAUACUGUUCGACUUGAAGGCAGGAGAGGGAAGUGGAAUUCCCGGUGUAGUGGUGAAAUGCGUAGAUAUCGGGAGGAACACCAGUGGCGAAGGCGACUUCCUGGCCUGUUCUUGACGCUGAGGCGCGAAAGCUAGGGUAGCAAACGGG